rnacentral:rRNA from 1 species
UACGGGGGGGGCAAGCGUUGUUCGGAAUUACUGGGCGUAAAGGGCUGGUAGGCGGCCAACUAAGUCGGAUGUGAAAUCCCCAGGCUUAACCUGGGAACUGCAUCCGAUACUGGUCGGUUUGAAUCCGGGAGAGGGAUGCAGAAUUCCAGGUGUAGCGGUGAAAUGCGUAGAUAUCUGGAGGAAUACCGGUGGCGAAGGCGGCAUCCUGGACCGGCAUUGACGCUGAACAGCGAAAGCUAGGGGAGCAAACGGG